ACUGAAAGACACACCUCCUGCUGCUAUGACGUAUUUCCGGGACAGGAUACUUUCUUCUUCCGGUUCUCAGCAACAUGGCGCCUCCAGUGCCGCUGUUCGCAGUGCGUGGCUCAGAUGGAACGUCUCUGCUCCGUGGUCCUCCUCAGUGUGAGCAGCAUUCAUCCUUCCCCAGGGACAAGUGUGCGACCUUCAGCAGAGACGGGACGUUGUUCGGCUGCUGCAGUGGAGACAGG